AAUCAAGCGCGAAAGGGCAUUUG
rnacentral:rRNA from 1 species